UUCUUGACACCGUAAAAAGAGAAGGGCUCGCUUCUCACAUGUGGCGGCAAGACAGACAAAACCUUUAUUUCACACUUUUGGGAAUCACUUUUGGACGUCCGAGUAAACCUGUUGCUGAAGUAUGGCGUCACAGAAAACAAUCAAGAACUUCUUUAUGCAUGUCAUUAAGCGCGAGAGCGAGGAUUUAGAGGUUAAUGAUGUCACCAAAAAAUCAAAGAUUGAUGAGCAAAAUGAUUCUUCCAGUGAUCCUUCCAUGUGUGGGGAAUCAUUCAUCAAAGAACUGGGCCAUACCCCAAGGUGAGCCAUGUCUAGCUUGAAUGUGUGUGUGAUGAUCUCAUAUGGUGGGUUAGUGAAUCAGACCAAUAUUUGUCUGUGUCUAAUAUUGUGCAGUAGCUAUUUAAAAACAAAAACAAAUAGAAUUUUAUCUUGCCAACAACACAUCUGCUUACUCCUUUGCAUUUUGUAUUUUUCUUUCUGUACUUUCCUCUCUUUUUUUUCUUAUAUUCUUUUCUUUUUCAGUUCAUUAUCUUUAACUUCGUAGAAUUGUUCCUUCAUUCUUCCUCUUUUCUUGUCUUGUUAAAUUUCCACUAAUACUCCUACAUACUGUACUGUGGAUGUGUAUAACUGAGCAGGUAUUGAAAACAUUUAAAAAUUUCAUAAGUUCUGCUAAUACACAUUGAAACAUCAGCUUUAGACAAGUUGUUGAUACUGUAACUGCAUCACAAAAUAAAGAUUACCCUGUAUUUAUUACAUGCUUAAAUUGUCAAAGGAUAUUGAAGAAUUACAUGUAUACCU